rnacentral:rRNA from 1 species
CCUACGGGAGGCAGCAGUGGGGAAUAUUGCACAAUGGGCGCAAGCCUGAUGCAGCCAUGCCGCGUGUAUGAAGAAGGCCUUCGGGUUGUAAAGUACUUUCAGCGGGGAGGAAGGGAGUAAAGUUAAUACCUUUGCUCAUUGACGUUACCCGCAGAAGAAGCACCGGCUAACUCCGUGCCAGCAGCCGCGGUGAUACGGAGGGUGCAAGCGUUAAUCGGAAUUACUGGGCGUAAAGCGCACGCAGGCGGUUUGUUAAGUCAGAUGUGAAAUCCCCGGGCUCAACCUGGGAACUGCAUCUGAUACUGGCAAGCUUGAGUCUCGUAGAGGGGGGUAGAAUUCCAGGUGUAGCGGUGAAAUGCGUAGAGAUCUGGAGGAAUACCGGUGGCGAAGGCGGCCCCCUGGACGAAGACUGACGCUCAGGUGCGAAAGCGUGGGGAGCAAACAGGAUUAGAUACCCUGGUAGUCCACGCCGUAAACGAUGUCGACUUGGAGGUUGUGCCCUUGAGGCGUGGCUUCCGGAGCUAACGCGUUAAGUCGACCGCCUGGGGAUCGGCCGCAGGUUAAAACUCGAAAUGAAUUGACCGGCUGAGCGNGCGAGACGACGAGAGGAGAGG